rnacentral:rRNA from 1 species
AUUGAACGCUGGCGGCAGGCUUAACACAUGCAAGUCGAGCGGGGUGAUGGUGCUUGCACUAUCACUUAGCGGCGGACGGGUGGGUAAUGCUUAGGAAUCUGCCUAUUAGUGGGGGACAACAUCUCGAAAGGGAUGCUAAUACCGCAUACGUCCUACGGGAGAAAGCAGGGGAUCACUUGUGACCUUGCGCUAAUAGAUGAGCCUAAGUCGGAUUAGCUAGUUGGUGGGGUAAAGGCCUACCAAGGCGACGAUCUGUAGCGGGUCUGAGAGGAUGAUCCGCCACGCUGGGACUGAGACACGGCCCAGACUCCGACGGGAGGCAGCAGUGGGGAAUAUUGGACAAUGGGGGGAACCCUGAUCCAGCCAUGCCGCGUGUGUGAAGAAGGCCUUAUGGUUGUAAAGCACUUUAAGCGAGGAGGAGGCUCUUUUGGUUAAUACCCAAGAUGAGUGGACGUUACUCGCAGAAUAAGCACCGGCUAACUCUGUGCCAGCCGCCGCCGUAA